AUGACCACAUCACGAGAAACACCGGUCCUCGUACGAUCACCUAAGUUAAGCAAGCCCGAUCCUGGUCAGUACUUAGAUGGGUGACCGCUUGGGAAUACCAGGUGCUGUAAG